GGUUCAUUAGCUCAGUUGGGAGAGCACCAGCUCGACAAGCUGGGGGUCGCUGGUUCGAACCCGGCAUGGACCA
rnacentral:tRNA from 5 species